GAUGAACGCUGGCGGCGUGCCUAAUACAUGCAAGUCGAGCGAACGGACGAGAAGCUUGCUUUUCUGAUGUUAGCGGCGGACGGGUGAGUAACACGUGGAUAACCUACCUAUAAGACUGGGAUAACUUCGGGAAACCGGAGCUAAUACCGGAUAAUAUUUUGAACCGCAUGGUUCAAAAGUGAAAGACGGUCUUGCUGUCACUUAUAGAUGGAUCCGCGCUGCAUUAGCUAGUUGGUAAGGUAACGGCUUACCAAGGCAACGAUGCAUAGCCGACCUGAGAGGGUGAUCGGCCACACUGGAACUGAGACACGGUCCAGACUCCUACGGGAGGCAGCAGUAGGGAAUCUUCCGCAAUGGGCGAAAGCCUGACGGAGCAACGCCGCGUGAGUGAUGAAGGUCUUCGGAUCGUAAAACUCUGUUAUUAGGGAAGAACAUAUGUGUAAGUAACUGUGCACAUCUUGACGGUACCUAAUCAGAAAGCCACGGCUAACUACGUGCCAGCAGCCGCGGUAAUACGUAGGUGGCAAGCGUUAUCCGGAAUUAUUGGGCGUAAAGCGCGCGUAGGCGGUUUUUUAAGUCUGAUGUGAAAGCCCACGGCUCAACCGUGGAGGGUCAUUGGAAACUGGAAAACUUGAGUGCAGAAGAGGAAAGUGGAAUUCCAUGUGUAGCGGUGAAAUGCGCAGAGAUAUGGAGGAACACCAGUGGCGAAGGCGACUUUCUGGUCUGUAACUGACGCUGAUGUGCGAAAGCGUGGGGAUCAAACAGGAUUAGAUACCCUGGUAGUCCACGCCGUAAACGAUGAGUGCUAAGUGUUAGGGGGUUUCCGCCCCUUAGUGCUGCAGCUAACGCAUUAAGCACUCCGCCUGGGGAGUACGACCGCAAGGUUGAAACUCAAAGGAAUUGACGGGGACCCGCACAAGCGGUGGAGCAUGUGGUUUAAUUCGAAGCAACGCGAAGAACCUUACCAAAUCUUGACAUCCUUUGACAACUCUAGAGAUAGAGCCUUCCCCUUCGGGGGACAAAGUGACAGGUGAUGCAUGGUUGUCGUCAGCUCGUGUCGUGAGAUGUUGGGUUAAGUCCCGCAACGAGCGCAACCCUUAAGCUUAGUUGCCAUCAUUAAGUUGGGCACUCUAAGUUGACUGCCGGUGACAAACCGGAGGAAGGUGGGGAUGACGUCAAAUCAUCAUGCCCCUUAUGAUUUGGGCUACACACGUGCUACAAUGGACAAUACAAAGGGCAGCGAAACCGCGAGGUCAAGCAAAUCCCAUAAAGUUGUUCUCAGUUCGGAUUGUAGUCUGCAACUCGACUACAUGAAGCUGGAAUCGCUAGUAAUCGUAGAUCAGCAUGCUACGGUGAAUACGUUCCCGGGUCU
rnacentral:rRNA from 1 species